rfam:Triticum aestivum genome assembly, contig: Triticum_aestivum_CS42_TGACv1_scaffold_033121_1BL
AUAAUACUUCCUCCGUCUGAAAAUACUUGUCACAAAAAUUGAUAAAAAUAAAUGUAUCUAGAACUAAAAUACGUCUAGAUACAUUAUUUUCGCCGACAAGUAUUUCCGGGCGGAGGGAGUAAAUA